AACGGGGGGGGGACAAGCGUUAUUCGUCAGGACUGGGUGUAAAAGGAUCUGUAGAUUGCCAUGAGACAGUUUGGAAACGAAAACGCUUUAGGCUCAACCUUUUGAGGUUUCCUCAGAACAAACUCGUGUGCUUUGAGUUAUAUGGGAGGUUAAAAAGUACUUUUAACUUGAAAGGUAGAAUUUGUCGACAGUUAUAAGGACUACCAUUUGGCGAAAGGCAUUUUAACCAUAGUUUAACGUGACAUUGGAGGGAUGAAAGCGUUGGGGGGAGCGAAAGGG
rnacentral:rRNA from 1 species